GACAGAGGGGGCAAGCGUUGCUCGGAAUUACUGGGCGUAAAGGGCGCGUAGGCGGGAUGGCAAGUCGGUCGUGAAAUCCUUCGGCUCAACCGAAGAACGUCGAUCGAUACUGCUGUUCUUGAGGGUUGCAGAGGAGACUGGAAUUCCCGGUGUAGCGGUGAAAUGUGUAGAGAUCGGGAGGAACACCGGUGGCGAAGGCGGGUCUCUGGG
rnacentral:rRNA from 1 species